GAUGAACGCUGGCGGCGUGCCUAAUACAUGCAAGUCGAGCGAACGGACGAGAAGCUUGCUUCUCUGAUGUUAGCGGCGGACGGGUGAGUAACACGUGGAUAACCUACCUAUAAGACUGGGAUAACUUCGGGAAACCGGAGCUAAUACCGGAUAAUAUUUUGAACCGCAUGGUUCAAAAGUGAAAGACGGUCUUGCUGUCACUUAUAGAUGGAUCCGCGCUGCAUUAGCUAGUUGGUAAGGUAACGGCUUACCAAGGCAACGAUGCAUAGCCGACCUGAGAGGGUGAUCGGCCACACUGGAACUGAGACACGGUCCAGACUCCUACGGGAGGCAGCAGUAGGGAAUCUUCCGCAAUGGGCGAAAGCCUGACGGAGCAACGCCGCGUGAGUGAUGAAGGUCUUCGGAUCGUAAAACUCUGUUAUUAGGGAAGAACAUAUGUGUAAGUAACUGUGCACAUCUUGACGGUACCUAAUCAGAAAGCCACGGCUAACUACGUGCCAGCAGCCGCGGUAAUACGUANGUGGCAAGCGUUAUCCGGAAUUAUUGGGCGUAAAGCGCGCGUAGCGGUUUUUUAAGUCUGAUGUGAAAGCCCACGGCUCAACCGUGGAGGGUCAUUGGAAACUGGAAAACUUGAGUGCAGAAGAGGAAAGUGGAAUUCCAUGUGUAGCGGUGAAAUGCGCAGAGAUAUGGAGGAACACCAGUGGCGAAGGCGACUUUCUGGUCUGUAACUGACGCUGAUGUGCGAAAGCGUGGGGAUCAAACAGGAUUAGAUACCCUGGUAGUCCACGCCGUAAACGAUGAGUGCUAAGUGUUAGGGGGUUUCCGCCCCUUAGUGCUGCAGCUAACGCAUUAAGCACUCCGCCUGGGGAGUACGACCGCAAGGUUGAAACUCAAAGGAAUUGACGGGGACCCGCACAAGCGGUGGAGCAUGUGGUUUAAUUCGAAGCAACGCGAAGAACCUUACCAAAUCUUGACAUCCUUUGACAACUCUAGAGAUAGAGCCUUCCCCUUCGGGGGACAAAGUGACAGGUGGUGCAUGGUUGUCGUCAGCUCGUGUCGUGAGAUGUUGGGUUAAGUCCCGCAACGAGCGCAACCCUUAAGCUUAGUUGCCAUCAUUAAGUUGGGCACUCUAAGUUGACUGCCGGUGACAAACCGGAGGAAGGUGGGGAUGACGUCAAAUCAUCAUGCCCCUUAUGAUUUGGGCUACACACGUGCUACAAUGGACAAUACAAAGGGCAGCGAAACCGCGAGGUCAAGCAAAUCCCAUAAAGUUGUUCUCAGUUCGGAUUGUAGUCUGCAACUCGACUACAUGAAGCUGGAAUCGCUAGUAAUCGUAGAUCAGCAUGCUACGGUGAAUACGUUCCCGGGUCU
rnacentral:rRNA from 1 species